AUGAACGCUGGCGGCGUGCCUAAUACAUGCAAGUCGAGCGAACGGACGAGAAGUUUGCUUCUCUGAUGUUAGCGGCGGACGGGUAAGUAACACGUGGAUAACCUACCUAUAAGACUGGGAUAACUUCGGGAAACCGGAGCUAAUACCGGAUAAUAUUUUGAACCGCAUGGUUCAAAAGUGAAAGACGGUCUUGCUGUCACUUAUAGAUGGAUCCGCGCUGCAUUAGCUAGUUGGUAAGGUAACGGCUUACCAAGGCAACGAUGCAUAGCCGACCUGAGAGGGUGAUCGGCCACACUGGAACUGAGACACGGUCCAGACUCCUACGGGAGGCAGCAGUAGGGAAUCUUCCGCAAUGGGCGAAAGCCUGACGGAGCAACGCCGCGUGAGUGAUGAAGGUCUUCGGAUCGUAAAACUCUGUUAUUAGGGAAGAACAUAUGUGUAAGUAACUGUGCACAUCUUGACGGUACCUAAUCAGAAAGCCACGGCUAACUACGUG
rnacentral:rRNA from 1 species